UACGUAGGGUGCGAGCGUUAAUCGGAAUUACUGGGCGUAAAGCGUGCGCAGGCGGUUUUGUAAGCCCGGUGGGAAAUCCCCGGGCUCAACCUGGGAAUGGCAUUUGGGACUGCAAGGCUGGAGUGCGGCAGAGGAGACUGGAAUUCCUGGUGUAGCAGCGAAAUGCGUAGAUAUCAGGAGGAAUACCGAUGGCGAAGGCAGGUCUCUGGGCCGUUACUGACGCUGAGGAGCGAAAGCGUGGGGAGCGAACAGG
rnacentral:rRNA from 1 species